rnacentral:rRNA from 1 species
UGAGUUUGAUCCUGGCUCAGAGUGAACGCUGGCGGGCAUGCCUAACACAUGCAAGUCGAACGAAUUUUGACAGUGUAUCGUCAGAGUUAGUGGCAAACGGGUGAGUAAUACGUGGACAAUCUUCCCUCGAGCGGGGAAUAACUCCGGGAAACCGGAGCUAAUACCGCGUGAGACCACGUCUCGGCAUCGAGAUGAGGUUAAAGCUCCGCAAGGGGCGCUUGAGGAGGGGUUCACGGCCUAUCAGCUAGUUGGCGGGGUUAAAGCCCACCAAGGCUACGACGGGUAACCGGUCUGAAAGGACGGCCGGUCACAAUGGCACUGAGACACGGGCCAUACUCCUACGGGAGGCAGCAGUGGGGAAUUUUGCGCAAUGGGGGAAACCCUGACGCAGCAAUGCCGCGUGGAGGACGAAGGUCUUCGGAUUGUAAACUCCUUUUGUCGGUGAAAAAUAACCCUGUGAAGAACAGGGAAUGAUUGUAGCCGGCGAAUAAGCCACGGCUAACUUCGUG